rnacentral:rRNA from 1 species
GUGGAUUAGUGGCGAACGGGUGAGUAACACGUGGGCAAUCUGCCCUGCACUCUGGGACAAGCCCUGGAAACGGGGUCUAAUACCGGAUAUGACACACGACCGCAUGGUCUGUGUGUGGAAAGCUCCGGCGGUGCAGGAUGAGCCCGCGGCCUAUCAGCUUGUUGGUGGGGUAAUGGCCUACCAAGGCGACGACGGGUAGCCGGCCUGAGAGGGCGACCGGCCACACUGGGACUGAGACACGGCCCAGACUCCUACGGGAGGCAGCAGUGGGGAAUAUUGCACAAUGGGCGAAAGCCUGAUGCAGCGACGCCGCGUGAGGGAUGACGGCCUUCGGGUUGUAAACCUCUUUCAGCAGGGAAGAAGCGCAAGUGACGGUACCUGCAGAAGAAGCGCCGGCUAACUACGUGCCAGCAGCCGCGGUAAUACGUAGGGCGCAAGCGUUGUCCGGAAUUAUUGGGCGUAAAGAGCUCGUAGGCGGCUUGUCACGUCGGAUGUGAAAGCCC